GACGAACGCUGGCGGCGUGCUUAACACAUGCAAGUCGAACGGAAAGGCCCUGCUUUUGUGGGGUGCUCGAGUGGCGAACGGGUGAGUAACACGUGAGUAACCUGCCCUUGACUUUGGGAUAACUUCAGGAAACUGGGGCUAAUACCGGAUAGGAGCUCCUGCUGCAUGGUGGGGGUUGGAAAGUUUCGGCGGUUGGGGAUGGACUCGCGGCUUAUCAGCUUGUUGGUGGGGUAGUGGUUUACCAAGGCUUUGACGGGUAGCCGGCCUGUGAGGGUGACCGGCCACAUUGGGACUGAGAUACGGCCCAGACUCCUACGGGAGGCAGCAGUGGGGAAUAUUGCACAAUGGGCGGAAGCCUGAUGCAGCAACGCCGCGUGCGGGAUGACGGCCUUCGGGUUGUAAACCGCUUUCGCCUGUGACGAAGCGUGAGUGACGGUAAUGGGUAAAGAAGCACCGGCUAACUACGUG
rnacentral:rRNA from 1 species